UGCAUCGUCCGGAAAUCGAACUGGGGCCGACCGCGUGGCAGGCGAGAAUUCUAACCCCUGAACCACCGAUGU